rnacentral:rRNA from 1 species
GACGAAGGGGGCUAGCGUUGUUCGGAAUUACUGGGCGUAAAGCGAGUGUAGGCGGUUGCCCAAGUCAGGUGUGAAAGCCUUGAGCUCAACUCAAGAAAUGCACUUGGUACUGGGUGGCUAGAGGACCGGAGAGGAUAGUGGAAUUCCCAGUGUAGUGGUGAAAUACGUAGAGAUUGGGAAGAACACCAGUGGCGAAGGCGGCUAUCUGGACGGUUACUGACGCUAAGACUCGAAAGCGUGGGGAGCGAACAGG